rnacentral:rRNA from 1 species
AUUGAACGCUGGCGGCAUGCCUUACACAUGCAAGUCGAACGGUAACGAGCCUUCGGGUGCCGACGAGUGGCGAACGGGUGAGUAAUACAUCGGAACGUGCCCGAUCGUGGGGGAUAACGAGGCGAAAGCUUUGCUAAUACCGCAUACGAUCUACGGAUGAAAGCAGGGGACCGCAAGGCCUUGCGCGGACGGAGCGGCCGAUGGCCGAUUAGGUAGUUGGUGGGAUAAAAGCUUACCAAGCCGACGAUCUGUAGCUGGUCUGAGAGGAUGAUCAGCCACACUGGGACUGAGACACGGCCCAGACUCCUACGGGAGGCAGCAGUGGGGAAUUUUGGACAAUGGGCGCAAGCCUGAUCCAGCCAUGCCGCGUGCAGGAUGAAGGCCUUCGGGUUGUAAACUGCUUUUGUACGGAACGAAAAGCCUUCUUUUAAUACAGGAGGGUCAUGACGGUACCGUAAGAAUAAGCACCGGCUAACUACGUG